AGGUCCGCCUGCCAUGUGACUAUAAGUUUAACGGCCGCGGUAUUUUAACCGUGCGAAGGUAGCGUAAUCACUUGUCUUUUAAAUGAAGACCUGUAUGAAUGGCAUCACGAGGGCUUAGCUGUCUCCCAUCUCCAGUCAAUGAAAUUGACCUCCCCGUGCAGAGGCGGGGAUAAUUACAUAAGACGAGAAGACCCUAUGGAGCUUUAGACCUAAAGUAAGUCACGUUUAACAUGCUAAAAUAACAGAAAAAACUUAGUGAUAUUUACUGAAGUGUCUUUGGUUGGGGCGACCGCGGGGUAAAACACAACCCCCAUGUGGACCGGGGAUAUUAUCCCUAAUACUCAGAGCCUCUACUCCAAGUAACAGAAAUUCUGACUUUUCUGAUCCGGUAUAACCGAUCAACGAACCGAGUUACCCAUAGGGAUAACAGCGCAAUCCCCUCUCAGAGCCCAUAUCGACGAGGGGGUUUACGACCUCGAUGUUGGAUCCAGGACAUCCUAACUGGUGCAGCCGCUACUUA
rnacentral:rRNA from 1 species